UAACACGUGGGUAACCUGCCCUGAUGAUCGGGACAACCCGGGGAAACUCGGGCUAAUACCGAAUGUGCCCUCUGACCGCAAGGUCGCUGGGGAGAGGAAGCUUCGGCCUCCGCAUCGGGAUGGGCCCGCGGCCCAUUAGCUUGUUGGUGAGGUAACGGCUCACCAAGGCAACGAUGGGUAGCUGGUCUGAGAGGACGAUCAGCCACACUGGGACUGAGACACGGUCCAG
rnacentral:rRNA from 1 species